rnacentral:lncRNA from 1 species
UUCCUUUUCUAUUUUGUGGAAUAUUUUGGAGAGAAUGAAUAUUAGGUCUUUGAAGAUCUGAUAGAAUCCUGGUCUACCAAAACCCAUCUGGUCCUGGGCUUUUUUUUUUUUUUUUUUUGGUUGGGAGACUUUUGAUGAUUACAUGUAUUUUAUUAGGGGUUUAGGGACAGUUUAGAUGGUUUGUCUGAUCCUGAUUUAACUUGGUAUCUGGUAUCUAUUUAGAAAAAUAUCCAUGUCAUACAGAUUUUCAAGUUUUGUUAAGUAUAGGUUUCUGUAAUAGGAUCAGAUAACUUUUUGAAUUUCCUCAGUUUCUAUUGUUACGUUAUGAUAUUGUUUAAAUUUGGUUUUGUCGUGGAAUAUCUUGGUUUCUCCAUUUAUGGUAAUUGAGAGUUUUGUUGGGUAUAGUAGCCUGGGCUGGCAUUUGUGUUCUCUUAGGGUCUAUAUGACAUCUGCCCAGGAUCUUCUGGCUUUUAGAAUCUCUGUUGAGAAGUCUGGUGUAAUUCUGGUAGGUCUGCCUUUAUAUGUUCCUUGACCAUUUUCCCUUACUGCUUUUAAUAUUCUUUCUUUGUUUUGUACAUUUGCUUUUUUGAUUAUUACAUGAUGAGAGGGUUUUCUUUUUCUGGUCCAAUCUAUUUGGAGUUCUGUAGGCUAUAUAUUUAUGGCACCUAUUUCUUUAGGUUAGGAAUGUUUUCUUCUAUAAUUUUGUUUAAGAUAUUUACUGGCCCUUUGAGUCUUGUAUUUUAGUUGUGUUGGGGUAUCCAGGGCUUUCUGUGGUGGAAGAACUGGGUUCUGAUGAUGCCAAGUAACCUUGAUUUCUGUUGUUCAUGUUCUUGAGCUUGCUUUUCUCCAUCUGAUUAUCUUUGCUGUUGGCUGGUCUUGUCCCUCCUGUGAGCCUAUGAUCUUACUGUUAGCACUACUGGGAUACCAGCUUUCUCUGGGUGGGAUUAGGGUGUGGAGAGCUGUGGCACAUGGUCAGCUCCAGGCACAGAUGGAAACUGGAUGUAUUUAUUCCCUGGCUGCUCCUGGGUUCCUAUGUCCUGUGGGCUCUGGACGAGUCCCACUUGGGCCAAGUAUUGGAGAAGAAGUGGUAGUUUCACCUAUGAUCUUAGGUGUGUCAGUACUCCUGGGAGACCCGCUGUCUCUGUGUGGGAUUAGUGUGUGGAGUGCUAUGGCACAGGUUCAGUUUCAGGUUACUGAUAAAAAUCUGAAGGCUCGUGUCCUGUCUGCUCAGCACUUCCUAUCACAUAUUACUAUUUAAUACACAUUUUUUUACCCUGUGUGAUUAUGAUCUGAAAAGUUUACUCAAGUAAGCCAUUGUUCUUAAAAAGAAUGUAAGAUUUCUUUCUGAGAGCUUCUUGUUGUGACCUUCUGUCAAUUAAUCAAUACAUUCUUUUAUUUAUUUUAGUUAACUUCUUUUUCUUCCUUAGCAUUGACCUAUAGCCACUUCUCAAAGGGAAUUUACUUAAUACAUAUAUUUUUCAGAAGCACCAGAGUCUUCUUACAUUAUGACCAUUAGGCAGCAAUGGGUGCUGUUUCAGACCAUUUUAAGCUGUCAAAUAACCUGU